CUGGGUUUAUAAAGCGCUCCGACUGCUGGUCCUUCCUUUCUGCUGCUGCUGCUCUCUCCGGGUGUCAGACCAGAGGAGUCUUUACUGUUUAAGGGACCAUGACUCUGACUGACUCAACAACCCGCCAUGUCUGGACCCAACUUUCUGUCUGAAAGAUUUAUCAGUUCCUGGGAGCUGAGGAGGACAGAGUUGGGAUGAAGGUGCUAACAUGGUGGCGAGUUAACUGAAAUUGGAUUUCCCUCCAAAAAACAUGGAGUCUCUCAUUUGAAGCAGAUCUUGAUGAUGAUGAUGAUGCCUCCUGAGCACAUGGAUCAGAAGGAUCGGACAUGCGGACUAUCGCACUUUGUUCACGUCUGUGGUGAUGGAGCAAGUGAAGUCUGGAGAAAAAUACCCGACUACCCCUAUUGACAUCAACCAAACCUGAUUCUACAGUCUGCCAUUUGGAUUCUUGCUAAUGCUAAUUGACAGUAUUGCUAAUCCUUUUAGCUGUGAUGUCUGAACUGUCAGGAACAUCUUGAAUGCUGAUAUUUUUAGGUAAUGAAUAUUUGCUUCUGGGUUUCUUGAUAUAGGUUGCUCUUGUAUGAGCCUGUUCAGUCUGGAUAAAAUGCUGCAUAAUGAAUAAAUAUAGGUGUUUCAUAUUAAAGAUUCAA